rnacentral:tRNA from 1 species
GCCCCCGUAGCUUAACCACAAUAAAGCAUUGGCCUUGUAAACCAAAAAUGGGCCCCGAGCCCCGAGGACA